ACCAGAAUAGCUUAAAUUUUAAAGCUUUGAUUUUGUAAUUCAAGGAUGGAAAUUCCUUCUGGUAC
rnacentral:tRNA from 1 species